UACGGAGGAUGCAAGCGUUAUCCGGAAUUAUUGGGCGUAAAGGGUCCGCAGGUGGUUGUUCAAGUCUGCUGUCAAAGCGUGGAGCUUAACUCCAUAUCGGCAGUGGAAACUGAAUAACUAGAGUUCGGUAGGGGUCACGGGAAUUCCCAGUGUAGCGGUGAAAUGCGUAGAUAUUGGGAAGAACACCGGCGGCGAAAGCGCGUGACUGGGCUGAGACUGACACUGAGGGACGAAAGCUAGGGGAGCGAAAGGG
rnacentral:rRNA from 1 species